rnacentral:rRNA from 1 species
UACGUAGGGGGCAAGCGUUGUCCGGAAUUAUUGGGCGUAAAGAGCGCGUAGGCGGUCUGAUAAGUCGGUUGUGAAAGUCGGGGGCUCAACCCUCGGAUGCCGAUCGAUACUGUCAGGCUAGAGUCCGGAAGAGGAGAGUGGAAUUCCUGGUGUAGCGGUGAAAUGCGCAGAUAUCAGGAAGAACACCCGUGGCGAAGGCGGCUCUCUGGUACGUGACUGACGCUGAGACGCGAAAGCGUGGGGAGCGAACAGG